GAUGAACGCUGGCGGCGUGCCUAAUACAUGCAAGUCGAGCGAACGGACGAGAAGCUUGCUUCUCUGAUGUUAGCGGCGGACGGGUGAGUAACACGUGGAUAACCUACCUAUAAGACUGGGAUAACUUCGGGAAACCGGAGCUAAUACCGGAUAAUAUUUUGAACCGCAUGGUUCAAAAGUGAAAGACGGUCUUGCUGUCACUUAUAGAUGGAUCCGCGCUGCAUUAGCUAGUUGGUAAGGUAACGGCUUACCAAGGCAACGAUGCAUAGCCGACCUGAGAGGGUGAUCGGCCACACUGGAACUGAGACACGGUCCAGACUCCUACGGGAGGCAGCAGUAGGGAAUCUUCCGCAAUGGGCGAAAGCCUGACGGAGCAACGCCGCGUGAGUGAUGAAGGUCUUCGGAUCGUAAAACUCUGUUAUUAGGGAAGAACAUAUGUGUAAGUAACUGUGCACAUCUUGACGGUACCUAAUCAGAAAGCCACGGCUAACUACGUGCCAGCAGCCGCGGUAAUACGUAGGUGGCAAGCGUUAUCCGGAAUUAUUGGGCGUAAAGCGCGCGUAGGCGGUUUUUUAAGUCUGAUGUGAAAGCCCACGGCUCAACCGUGGAGGGUCAUUGGAAACUGGAAAACUUGAGUGCAGAAGAGGAAAGUGGAAUUCCAUGUGUAGCGGUGAAAUGCGCAGAGAUAUGGAGGAACACCAGUGGCGAAGGCGACUUUCUGGUCUGUAACUGACGCUGAUGUGCGAAAGCGUGGGGAUCAAACAGGAUUAGAUGCCCUGGUAGUCCACGCCGUAAACGAUGAGUGUUAAGUGUUAGGGGGUUUCCGCCCCUUAGUGCUGCAGCUAACGCAUUAAGCACUCCGCCUGGGGAGUACGACCGCAAGGUUGAAACUCAAAGGAAUUGACGGGGACCCGCACAAGCGGUGGAGCAUGUGGUUUAAUUCGAAGCAACGCGAAGAACCUUACCAAAUCUUGACAUCCUUUGACAACUCUAGAGAUAGAGCUUUCCCCUUCGGGGGACAAAGUGACAGGUGGUGCAUGGUUGUCGUCAGCUCGUGUCGUGAGAUGUUGGGUUAAGUCCCGCAACGAGCGCAACCCUUAAGCUUAGUUGCCAUCAUUAAGUUGGGCACUCUAAGUUGACUGCCGGUGACAAACCGGAGGAAGGUGGGGAUGACGUCAAAUCAUCAUGCCCCUUAUGAUUUGGGCUACACACGUGCUACAAUGGACAAUACAAAGGGCAGCGAAACCGCGAGGUCAAGCAAAUCCCAUAAAGUUGUUCUCAGUUCGGAUUGUAGUCUGCAACUCGACUACAUGAAGCUGGAAUCGCUAGUAAUCGUAGAUCAGCAUGCUACGGUGAAUACGUUCCCGGGUCU
rnacentral:rRNA from 1 species